UGUAAAGGUAAUUUUCUGUUUUUUUCCGUUGCAUAUGAAUAUGCUUGGAAAGACAGGAACAUCAACUUGUUAACUAAACUUGAGCAAGUAUAAUUAAUUUAACUGGAUAAUUUAAUCUGUUUCAGAUUUUGAACAUGGGAAACACGGAUCAUAAUCCUGCUGGUGAAAUCCCCUUCAGUAACUCAGAAGGUAUCGUUGCUAUGUCUUGGUGCCCACACAAUCCCAACUUACUGCUUGCGUGUACCAAGAACAACAAGAUUUUGGUCUGGAACAAGAAAACUAACAAGGUAAUUAGCGAGGCAACCGCUGCAAGAUGUCUUUAUGCUCAAUGGAGUAGAACAACGCCAGGCCAAUUAGCAGUCAUCCAAGAAGGCAAGCUGAGGCUUUGUAAGUUGGAUGGAGCUGAUGUAGCUGAGUGAAGGCUAAUAGGAGUGUUACUGCUAGUUCUAGAUGGCGACUAGAUUGGAUAUAUAGUUGGAUGGAGCUGGUGUAUUUUCUUCGAUGCAGUUGGAUGAAGCUGAUGUAGCUGAGUGAAGGCUGAGAGGACUGUUGCUAGUUCUAGAUGGCGACUAGAUUGGAUAGUUGGAUGGAGCUGGUGCAGCUGACUAGCUGAGUGAAGGUGUUUCUCCAGUUCUAAAUGACGACUAGAUUGGAUAGAGAAGUUAGUGUAGCUGAGUGAAGGCCACGUGUAGCUUUAGAUAACCACACUUGAAUCAACUAUAGAUGGCCAUCUGGGCCGCCUGGCACGGCACGGCCCAAGCCCGGCCGUGCCUGGGCCGAGGCUUGUCGGGCCGGCACGGCUCGACCGACGCACCGGGCCGUGCCGUGCCAGCCCACGGGCGGCAUACACGGCCCAGGCACGGCCCAAUACCACUCGGGCCGUGCCGGGCCGGCCAGAAGGUAUGAUGGGCUAUUGUGCUGCCUCACAGAAAAAGUCUAUAUUUGGUCCCUCAACUCUGUGGCUGUGUUUAAAUGGCUGGAAAUAAGUCUAUUUUUGGUUCCUCAACUUUGUGGGCUGUGUUUAAAUGGCUGGAUAGUAAGUCUAUUUUGUAUACCUAUU